rnacentral:rRNA from 1 species
GUCUAUUCUGCCCAUUGAAUAAUAAGUUUAAAAGGCCGCAGUAUUCUGACUGUGCAAAGGUAGCAUAAUCAUUAGUUUUUUAAUUGAAGGCUUGUAUGAAUGAUUGGACAAGAAUUAAGCUGUCUCUUUCAAUAACACUUGAAUUUUAUUUUUAAGUGAAAAAGCUUAAAUAAUAAAGAAAGACGAUAAGACCCUAUAAAUCUUUAUGUAAAUUAGUUUUUAAGUUAAAAUAUAAGGUUAACUAGAUUUAAAGAAUUAAGUUCAUUGUGCUGGGGCGGUAGUGAUAAAAAAAAUUAACUGUCAUUAUAAGAAACAAAUAUUUUUGUAAAGUAAAAGAUCCUGAAAUUUGGAUUUAAAGUGAAAGUUACUUUAGGGAUAACAGCAUAAUUUCUUUUGAGAGUCCAAAUCGAAAAAGAAGCUUGUGACCUCGAUGUUGAAUUAAGAGAUCCU